rnacentral:rRNA from 1 species
GAUGAACGCUAGCUACAGGCUUAACACAUGCAAGUCGAGGGGCAGCACAGUGUAGCAAUACACGGGUGGCGACCGGCGCACGGGUGCGUAACGCGUAUCCAACCUUCCCGUUACUCUUGGAUAGCCUUCCGAAAGGGAGAUUAAUACAAGAUGGUGUUGAAAUUCCGCAUGUUAUUUCAACUAAAGAUUUAUCGGUAACGGAUGGGGAUGCGUGACAUUAGAUAGUAGGCGGGGUAACGGCCCACCUAGUCUACGAUGUCUAGGGGUUCUGAGAGGAAGGUCCCCCACACUGGAACUGAGACACGGUCCAGACUCCUACGGGAGGCAGCAGUGAGGAAUAUUGGUCAAUGGUCGGAAGACUGAACCAGCCAAGUAGCGUGAAGGAUGAAGGUUCUAUGGAUUGUAAACUUCUUUAUACGGGAGUAAAACACCUUACGUGUAGGGUCUUGUAUGUACCGUAUGAAUAAGCAUCGGCUAACUCCGUG